UCCGUAGGCGGUGUGGCAAGUCGGUAGUGAAAUCUCUCGGCCUAACUGAGAGGCUGCUGCCGAAACUGCCAUGCUCGAGUGCGAGAGAGGCGAGUGGAAUUGCGGGUGUAGCGGUGAAAUGCGUAGAUAUCCGCAGGAACAUCCGAGGCGAAAGCGGCUCGCUGGAUCGCAACUGACGCUGAGGGACGAAAGCUAGGGGAGCAAACAGGAUUAGAUACCCUGGUAGUCCUAGCCCUAAACCAUCAGGACUUGGGGUUUGCCCUGUACGGGGCAAGUCCCGGAGCUAACGCGUUAAGUCCUGCGCCUGGGGAGUACGGUCGCAAGGCUGAA
rnacentral:rRNA from 1 species